rnacentral:rRNA from 1 species
AUUGAACGCUGGCGGCAGGCCUAACACAUGCAAGUCGAACGGUAACAGGAAGAAGCUUGCUUCUUUGCUGACGAGUGGCGGACGGGUGAGUAAUGUCUGGGAAACUGCCUGAUGGAGGGGGAUAACUACUGGAAACGGUAGCUAAUACCGCAUAACGUCGCAAGACCAAAGAGGGGGACCUUCGGGCCUCUUGCCAUCGGAUGUGCCCAGAUGGGAUUAGCUUGUUGGUGGGGUAACGGCUCACCAAGGCGACGAUCCCUAGCUGGUCUGAGAGGAUGACCAGCCACACUGGAACUGAGACACGGUCCAGGCUCCUACGGGAGGCAGCAGUGGGGAAUAUUGCACAAUGGGCGAAAGCCUGAUGCAGCCAUGCCGCGUGUAUGAAGAAGGCCUUCGGGUUGUAAAGUACUUUCAGCGGGGAGGAAGGGAGUAAAGUUAAUAUCUUUGCUCAUUGACGUUACCCGCAGAAGAAGCAACGGCUAACUCCGUG